CAGAGCCGCGGGAAUACGUAGGUGGCAAGCGUUGUCCGGAAUUAUUGGGCGUAAAGGGCUCGCAGGCGGUUUCUUAAGUCUGAUGUGAAAGCCCCCGGCUCAACCGGGGAGGGUCAUUGGAAACUGGGAAACUUGAGUGCAGAAGAGGAGAGUGGAAUUCCACGUGUAGCGGUGAAAUGCGUAGAGAUGUGGAGGAACACCAGUGGCGAAGGCGACUCUCUGGUCUGUAACUGACGCUGAGGAGCGAAAGCGUGGGGAGCGAACAGGAUUAGAUACCCCUGUAGUCCCUGUCUCUUAUACG
rnacentral:rRNA from 1 species